CCUACGGGCGGCAGCAGUGGGGAAUAUUGGGCAAUGGGCGCAAGCCUGACCCAGCAACGCCGCGUGAAGGAAGAAGGCUUUCGGGUUGUAAACUUCUUUUCUCAGGGACGAAGCAAGUGACGGUACCUGAGGAAUAAGCCACGGCUAACUACGUGCCAGCAGCCGCGGUAAUACGUAGGUGGCAAGCGUUAUCCGGAUUUACUGGGUGUAAAGGGCGUGUAGGCGGGAAAGCAAGUCAGAUGUGAAAACCAUGGGCUCAACCUGUGGCCUGCAUUUGAAACUGUUUUUCUUGAGUACUGGAGAGGCAGACGGAAUUCCUAGUGUAGCGGUGAAAUGCGUAGAUAUUAGGAGGAACACCAGAGGCGAAGGCGAUUAACUGGACCGUAACUGACGCUGAGGCACGAAAGUGUGGGUAUCAAACAGGAUUAGAUACCCGUGUAGUC
rnacentral:rRNA from 1 species